AUUGAACGCAGGCGGCAUGCCUUACACAUGCAAGUCGAACGGUAACAGGUCUUCGGAUGCUGACGAGUGGCGAACGGGUGAGUAAUACAUCGGAACGUGCCCGAUCGUGGGGGAUAACGAGGCGAAAGCUUUGCUAAUACCGCAUACGAUCUACGGAUGAAAGCGGGGGAUCUUCGGACCUCGCGCGGACGGAGCGGCCGAUGGCAGAUUAGGUAGUUGGUGGGAUAAAAGCUUACCAAGCCGACGAUCUGUAGCUGGUCUGAGAGGAUGAUCAGCCACACUGGGACUGAGACACGGCCCAGACUCCUACGGGAGGCAGCAGUGGGGAAUUUUGGACAAUGGGCGAAAGCCUGAUCCAGCCAUGCCGCGUGCAGGAUGAAGGCCUUUGGGUUGUAAACUGCUUUUGUACGGAACGAAAAGCCUCUUUCUAAUAAAGAGGGGUCAUGACGGUACCGUAAGAAUAAGCACCGGCUAACUACGUG
rnacentral:rRNA from 1 species